AGAACUGAAACUACCCUGAAUUUGGAUGAAAUCGCCAGAAUAGUGAAAAUCGACAUUAUGGGCAAAUCUAAAUGUAGUGAAUGUUUCCGAGCAAACUAAUAAAAGGAUAAACACAAAUAAAUAAGAAGAUAGAGAGAUUACACACUCGAAUAAAAACAACCAUCAAAAUAAGAAAAAUAAAAACAUAGUUUAAAAUAAAAUAAAAGAAAGAAGUCUUACAAAUAAAAAUAAAGUACAACUGAAAAUAAUAAUAAAUAAAGAAAAUAAAACGAAAACAAAUCAGUGAUCGUUGUUGUGAGAGGCGUCUGGGUCGCGAGGCGCAUGCUCAGGAUGAGAGAUAUAGAGGUACGAGCAAAUCUGAUGCAAAUACGUCUCAAUGCGAUUGUUUCGUGCUGUUUGCUGUUGCUGAUUAGGAUAAAUAUCCUCAAGUGUAAUUGUAUGCACAAUCGUAGUAGUAGAGUGAUUAGCUAGAGGACUGGUAACGGAUCGCAGUAAUGGUGGACGACCAUCAAUGACGAGCGAUUGUAAUUGGAGAGAAUGAAGAUGAGGUCCUAGUGUUUUUUUGUUUCUUGAAAUGAGCGGGUACCUUACUUUUUCCUCAUGUGUUCAACAUUAUAUACCUAGUGACGACCAAUUGUCAAUAUAGCACAAAAUCGUCAAUAGAGUAUACAAUUGCUUGUAACCAAAAGGUAUGUAGAACCUUCCCACAGAAAUGAAAAACUAAUUCAAUACUGACAGGAAUCUAAAACAUGGCUACCAACAACACUAAAACCUCCACAAAUCGCACAUGAAAAAAUCACAACCAACACAUUAAACAAAAUAAAUUAAAUAAAAAUACUAAAACUAUUAACUACAAAUAAAAUACUAAACAUGUUGUAGAAAAACAAAACUAAAAUAAAGUAAAUAAAUAAAUAAAAUUCAAAAUAAUAAAAAUUAAUAUAAUAAUAAAAAUAAUAUAUAAUAAAUAUAUAUAAUAAAUAAAAGGAACAAAAGAAAAAUGGGUUUUCAAUGUGGUAGGUACCGAUGGUGGCACAAACAGUGGUGGUGGGAGGGACAGCUGGCGAGGGAGGACAAGACUUCAAUGAGGUCUAGUCGACGGGGUACGGUGGAGGUUGACACUAGGAGGCUGUUGGUUGGGUGUUAAAAGAAGGGGAAGAAGAAGGAUAGGUCGAGGAAGAGGGAUGCAGAAUGGAGGUGCGGGCUUUGCGCCAGAGCUGGUGUUCGGACCGAUGACGGAAUAAAGGUGGCUGAUGGCGAGGGGAAGGAGAAGGGAAAAGAUCGAAAAAAAUGGAAGAAGGAAAGGGAGGAGGAAGACGGUGGUUGUGGAGGGGUUGAGCAAAGAAAUGAAGGGGAGAGAUAGGUGUUUGGUGGUUAGUGGUCAAACUAGCAAAAGGAGGAUUUGACCGGCGGUGAGGUGGGCAAAUCGACGGUGACUGGAUUUUAGAGGGGCUGGUGAAUGACUAAUGUUUGAGGAAGAAGGAGAAGGAAGUAAAAUAAUAAAAUAAAAGAAAAAAAUAAAAGAUAAAAAGAAAGAAACCCUAGCUUUGAAACAGGGUACACAGCCUUGUGGGCUACACAGCCGUUUGGCC
rnacentral:lncRNA from 1 species